AAAAUUUUUAAGUUUUUAAGUUUAAGUUCUUAGACCACAUUCAUUCUGUGUCAGAAACCUAUGUUGUGUCAACUAUUUAAUCACAAUCCAAAUUCAGAGCUGUAUCAAGCUUAAAUGUUGUGUCCAUACUUGCCCCAACUGUUCAAGGUUCGACCUCUGUGGUUGUAUAAAGCUGCGCCCUGCGGAGCAUCUGGUUGAUUAUGGGCCCAGUUUUCAAGUUGGUCCAAAUCGGGGUCCAAAAUUAAACUUUGUUUGAUUUCAACAAAAAUUGAAUAUAUGGG
rnacentral:lncRNA from 1 species